rnacentral:tRNA from 1 species
GGGCGUGUGGUCUAGGGGUAUGAUGUUCGCUUCGCAUAAUUGUUCCGAAUUUCGGGCUCGUGCAAUUGCGAAAGGUCGAGGGUUCAAUUCCCUCCUCGUCCA